GAUGAAGAACGUAGCGAAAUGCGAUAAGUAAUGUGAAUUGCAGAAUUCAGUGAAUCAUCGAAUCUUUGAACGCACAUUGCGCCCUCUGGUAUUCCGGGGGGCAUACCUGUUCGAGCGUCAUUAUAACCACUCAAGCUCUCGCUUGGUAUUGGGGUUCGCGGUUCCGCGGCCCCUAAAAUCAGUGGCGGUGCCUGUCGGCUCUACGCGUAGUAAUACUCCUCGCGAUUGAGUCCGGUAGGUCUACUUGCCAGCAACCCCCAAUUUUUACAGGUUGACCUCAGAUCAGGUAGGGAUACCCGCUGAACUUAAGCAUAUCAAUAAGCGGAGGA
rnacentral:misc_RNA from 1 species